GUUUGCUUUGGGUUAUUAUGAACUCUAGUUAGUGCCCAAAAGACGAGAGCCAACAAAAGUCUGAAGAGCAUUACAGCAAGUUCCCACAUCUCACAGGGGUGACAUCACCACCAUCACAUACUUGCCAGCAGUAAAAAUUAGAAGCCUUAUAUAGAACAUUAGAGUUGUGGGAAUCUUUUGCUACUUUAUCUUACCUGCAGCCUAAUUUCCUUUUGUUCUAGAUUGGGCUAAUGCCAGCUUUCAGGGCUGACCUCUGUCCUUAAGGGAGCAUACCUAAACCCACCCCACCAAGCCGCAGCUUAAUACAUGACAAUGGAUGCAAGCAAUGUUAGUUAAAAAGGAAAAUGAAAAUACCUGCCAGCACAUGUGUGAGACAUACUAGUUGCUGCUGCUCCUGCUCAAAAGAGUAAAUACUAUGAUGAAUGUCGCUAAGCAAUGUUGCAUUUUCAGUCCUUAAUAACUCCCUUAGUAACACAGGAUGGGACAAACUAUUUUGAGAUUGAUGAGAUGCUUUGCCUUACUUCUGUGAAUAAUCAGCCUCAGCAACCACGGCUUCCAGCAUGAAGCAAAAGUGAUUAUCCUUUGUCCCCUGGCUGAAAUGUGUAUUAGAACUCAGUGGUAACUGUCCUGUUGGGAAGUCUAAGGGUUUUCUGCUAACCCACUCCUCCACAGUGUCUUCACCUUAAAAAAUUACUAAAUAAGUGUACAUUCUUUUCAUGUCUCCUCUCUGCCAUUGUAUAUGUGUAUGUAGCAAAUGCCAGAAAGUUGUGAAUUUUAAAUAUACCUAAAGAUUUGGAGUAAAACGGUUCUACAAAUAUUCAUCCUUCUGAUUCAAAGAUAAUGCUGCUUUUGGGGAUUCUGUGUGAGGGUGACCGACUCUGCAGGCCAGUUUCAGAUCUUGCAUUGAUAACAACAACUCUUUGGUUUACAGAUGCCAGAAAGUUGCUCAGAGUGAGCCGCCAAUGACAACUAAUGGCUUUGUGCCCCUUUCCCCCACUUGCCCAGCAUUCCCUGGUUACCAGAAUUUUUGAUUACCCAGCAGUCUCUGGUUACCCAGAAUUCUGGAAAACCCAGUAUUCUUUGGUUACCCAGAAUUCCCAGUUACCCACGAUUCAUAGUUAUCCAGUAUUCCCCAGUUACUCAGCAUUUCUCAGCUACUAAGUAAAUAUUACGUAGAAAUAGUCUGCAAGAAAAUAACCUCUUCAGCAGGAUUCGCCCAGUGGAAUUCUGGAACUUAUCAUCUACUUCGAGGAGCAAUGCUGCACAAAAGACGUUACUGUACAAAAGCUAGAGCACAGAAUCUCAACUACACGUUUUCCCAUUGAAGGGACUGUGGGCAAAUCAAUGUCUUCACGCCUCUGUUUUCUGACCUGUUAUUGCAAUGACUAAGUUGACAUAUGUAAAGCGCUUAGAACAGUGCCUUCUUCUGCGGCAGAGCUAGAAAAGUGUUCGCAAGAGUCUUCAGUCAAAACAAGCAAAUUCCACAGUUUGUAAAGGAGGAAAAAGCUAAGUCCAGAAUGCACCCUUAGGAUCUGUGUUUGCUUCUAUUUCAGAGGAAGCCACUGAUGUAAUAGAGCUAGAAAUUGCCAAAAUUCGAAUUCCUAUAACAUCAAACUGUAACUAAUUAUGGUAUGGUCAUAUGCUGUAUGUUUCCCAGAAAUAACUGAUGUUCCACGGACAAAGAUCAAGAAAAUUACCCAAGGGAACACAGAAUGUAAGAAUGGAAGCAGGAUUUGAACCCCAAGUUUCUGAUUCAAGGUUCACUAAUUGUUACAGUUCUGUCACGGCCAGGAGAAGACUAUGCCCCUGGGAACCGGCUUCUCCAAGAAGAAUGAGAGUCAAAUGGAACAGACCUGAUCUAAGCCCACAGCCUGUAUCCAAGCCCAACCAAGCACAGCUGACCUACAGUCACAUGAGCUAGAAACCAGGGCUUGUUACUGCAAUUUGCC
rnacentral:lncRNA from 1 species